rnacentral:rRNA from 1 species
ACGCUCGACACCUACGGGGGCAGCAGUGGGGAAUAUUGCACAAUGGGGGAAACCCUGAUGCAGCGACGCCGCGUGAAGGAAGAAGUAUUUCGGUAUGUAAACUUCUAUCAGCAGGGAAGAAGAUGACGGUACCUGACUAAGAAGCCCCGGCUAACUACGUGCCAGCAGCCGCGGUAAUCUGAGCGGGCUGGCAAGGC